rnacentral:ncRNA from 1 species
UGUUCGCAGAGGUGAGAACGGCCUUCUCACGCUCCUGGAAACAGGGAAGUAGCCGCAAGGUGAAGAGAUCCGGGACUUGGCAUCCGGCUCGAACA